rnacentral:lncRNA from 1 species
UCCCGACAUUUCUAUCGCUUUGGCUAGAGAUCGUCAAUCUUCAGGGGGGAGUAUCACAAACUCUCUCGACUUUUCUGUCGCUCCGGCCGGAAAUUGUCAAAAUUCGGGGGGGAGUAUCACAAGCUCUCCCGACAUUUCUAUCGCUUUGGAUAGAAAUCGUCAAACUCAGGGGGGAGUAUCACAAGCUCUCCCGACACUUCUGUCGCUCUGGCCAGAAGUCGUCACACAUAAGCACGGUCAGUCUGUUGCUUCAGCCAGAUUCACCGAGGAUUGAUCAAAGAAAGAACAUCGCUAGAGGUAAAAUCGGUCAAUAAUCAUAUGCGUUUUCAGACUGAUUUAGUUGUUUUGCAGGAUGUUUUCUUUUUUGCAGAUAUUAUUCUGUCG